AGAUUGAACGCUAGCGGGAUGCUUUACACAUGCAAGUCGAACGGCAGCGCGGACUUCGGUCUGGCGGCGAGUGGCGAACGGGUGGGUAAUAUAUCGGAACGUGCCCAGUAGCGGGGGAUAACUACGCGAAAGCGUGACUAAUACCGCAUACGCCCUACGGGGGAAAGGGGGGAUUCUUCGGAACCUCUCACUAUUGGAGCGGCCGAUAUCAGAUUAGCUAGUUGGUGAGGUAAAGGCUCACCAAGGCGACGAUCUGUAGCUGGUUUGAGAGGACGACCAGCCACACUGGGACUGAGACACGGCCCAGACUCCUACGGGAGGCAGCAGUGGGGAAUUUUGGAACUAAGUGGGGG
rnacentral:rRNA from 1 species